CUCACUAUAUAAGUGAAUGAAAGCCUGGAGUUCAUCAUUUAGUUUUGCAGACAUAGGAGAGGGUUAAAGAUCGUUUCCGUUAUAGUUAUCUCCAAAUUGAGUUUCUGUAUCUGUGUGGAGAGAGAUGCAAGUCUUUAUUAGAGAAAUUAUUAGGUAGUUCCGGGACCAACUCAUCAGCUCAUCUAUGGGUCCCUGACGUCGUCAACGCCAUUAGCGUUUCGCGAAUCAUCUUCAACAACAAGUACUGUUUCGCUCGCGUCUUCGCAUGUGAAGGCGAAGGCCGGAUGUUAGGUUGUUGGCAGCUGUAGUGAAUUUCCCAAAUUGAUCCGUUUUCGUCACCGGCAGUGAAUGUGGAGACGAUUUUUACUUGGCAAUGAGCUGUAAAUUUGCUUAGAUGGCUAGGAUUGCCCGAAAAAUAGAUGAGGUGGUGGUCCUGGAACUACCUAAUAAUUUCUCCAUUAAGAUGUGCUGUUGAAAGACUUGGAUUUCUUUCUCCCUCUUUGAAUCCUCAAAAUGGGCCUCCCUAGAUAUUUUACCCGUUGAAUAAAUAUAGUCCACACAAAAGGAUAAUUGAUGACAUAAACAUUUCAUGUGAUCAUUAUUUUUUUAAUAGAAAAUAAAGCAGAUUGGAUAAUUUGCAAGUCUUUACAAAAAUAUAUGAUGUUAUGUAUGGCACUAUCGAAUUGGCAUAUUGGAUUUGUGAUUAGAAAAAAAUUAGUACAUAUUUUGAAUUAAAUUUCUUUCGAUUUCGGAUAUAAGGCACCAAUUCGAUACUUCCGGACAUAAUAUAGAGUUAUUUGCUUAAAUAAUACAGGAGGUUAUUUGAAGUCACAGCCCAAGGGAAGAUGUUGAGUUUUGUUAUGCCUCUUACUUUUUACGGUUUUAAUUUGUAAAUCCAAUGAUGCCUCUGCCUCUUGUAGGUAUAAGAAGAGAUAGCAGAUAUAUACAAGAAAAUAUUUUGUAGACUGCGUAUUAGUGUUAAUGAAAAUGCUAUCAUGGGUGACAAAAAACAAAAAACAAAAAACAAAAAAUAAAAAAUAAAAAUGCUAUCAUGGGCUAGAGGAAAUGUAAACAAAAUUUGUCAUUAUCUAUGCAAAAAUGCAUGCCCUAACUCCUUUUUGUUUUUUUAGAUUCUUGAAUUUUAACCG